rnacentral:rRNA from 1 species
AUUGAACGCUGGCGGCAGGCUUAACACAUGCAAGUCGAGCGGAGUGAUGGUGCUUGCACUAUCACUUAGCGGCGGACGGGUGAGUAAUGCUUAGGAAUCUGCCUAUUAGUGGGGGACAACAUCUCGAAAGGGAUGCUAAUACCGCAUACGUCCUACGGGAGAAAGCAGGGGAUCUUCGGACCUUGCGCUAAUAGAUGAGCAUAAGUCGGAUUAGCUAGUUGGUGGGGUAAAGGCUUACCAAGGCGACGAUCUGUAGCAGGUCUGAGAGGAUGAUCCGCCACACUGGGACUGAGACACGGCCCAGACUCCUACGGGAGGCAGCAGUGGGGAAUAUUGGACAAUGGGGGGAACCCUGAUCCAGCCAUGCCGCGUGUGUGAAGAAGGCCUUAUGGUUGUAAAGCACUUUAAGCGAGGAGGAGGCUCUUUUGGUUAAUACCCAAGAUGAGUGGACGUUACUCGCAGAAUAAGCACCGGCUAACUCUGUGCCAGCCGCCGCAGUAA